rnacentral:rRNA from 1 species
AGCGAACGCUGGCGAUAGGCCUAACACAUGCAAGUCGAACGGAAGCACAGUAAGUGCUUGCUCUUACGGGUGGCCAGUCGCGGACGGAAGAGGUAUAUAUCGGACUCUACUUUUUCGUGGGGGAUAACGUAGGGAAACUUACGCUCAUACCGCAUACGCCCUACGGGUGAAAGCAGGGGAUAUUCGGACCUUGCGCGAUUGAAUGCGCCGAUGUCGGAUUAGCUAGUUGGCGGGGUAAUGGCCAACCAAGUCGACGAUCCGUAGCUGGUCUGGGAGGAGGAUCGGCCACACGGGAGCUGGGACACCGUCAAGGCGCCUACGGGAGGCAGCAGUGGCGAAUAGUGGACAAUGGGCGCAAGCCUUGUCCAGUGAGAGCGCGUGGGUGGAGGAGGCCUUCGGGUUGUAAAGCCGGUCUUUGGGUAAAGAAAAGCAGCAGGUUAAGACGACGCGGUUCUGACGGUACCCAGAGAAUAAGCACCGGCUAACUUCGUG